rnacentral:misc_RNA from 1 species
GGAAAUAUGAAGUUUGGUAAAAUGAUUUAUUACCAACUUCGUUCUACACGAUUUCCUAUCAGUUGGUGAAAACUCACAAGUCAGUAGUUGAAUUAUUUUCCUAUCUAUCCAUUCUUCCAGAAUUGAAUUCUGUUGCUAAAUUUAGAACCAUUAUCUGAAUAGCAUUUGCCUUAUUAGGAAUCUAUUUUGGUGUCAAUGCCAGCUGGCUGAAUAAUUAAGAUUUGGUGCAG